CCAUGCCCUCUUUGGGCGUUUCCUCCCAAGACUUGGCCGCCCGGCUUACCCCUGGCGGCCUUUUUCUUUUU
rnacentral:sRNA from 1 species